UUUGUUUUGUUUUUUUAAAUUGAACAACUUUUUCAUGUAUUUUCUACUCGUUGUAUUUCUAUGUUUGGAUGGGGCAGGUCUGAGCGGCUGGACUGAUCUCCCGCUGACCAAUAAGCUGCUCCGCUGCUAACCGCCAGCCAAUAGAACUGCUUCUUUGCUUGCUGCCUUACCAAUCAGCGGCUGCCGCUGAAGCUCGGCGCUUACAGAACAGAGGAGCAGCCGCCAUUUUGUUUGUUUUUAUCUCAACUGUUACGGGAAGCGGUAGUGGGGAGGGAGCAGGGGGGUAGGGAGGAAAUCCCCCGGGUGACGUUAGCCUAGCGCGUCUUAUCAGCCGAGCUCAGAGUGGCAGGACAGUGUCCAAUCAGAAGGCCGGAACGACGCGAAGCGGUCAGGCGGGGAAAGUUAAGAGAAAAUGAUGACUAAAUCUUACAUCAGCGUAGGAUGACGUAAGAAAAACAUUUACAGUCUCUUUAAAAAGAGACUACAGCUCAUCUUAAACAUGAAAGUAAAUUAGACCCGAAAAUUAAUAAAUUGAGAGAAGUCCAGGUAUGCUCUCUGCUGCUGGAGGUCACCUUGUUUCUAGACAUGCAAUCACAACAACUGACACUGCGUCAUCGCUGUCCUGCUACAUCUAAUCGGAAGUAUUGAUUGGAGAUUUGUUUUGUAGUUUGAAGUCAGUCUGUAAUUGAUUUAUAGAAGCACAUUUGUCUUAUUAAAAUAAAAAAAAUUAAAUGCACAAUUUUGAAGUUUUGUCUGGAAUUUGUCAUCAAGUAGGAUUUUCUAUCCUGAUUUUAUGACUUUUUCAAGUUUUCAUUUUUAACCUUGGAGUUGCUUUUUGUCAUUAUAUGAUUUAUUAAUUUUUAUUUAAAAUGUCUGAUUUCCACAGUGACGUGAUUGCGUCAUGCAGUGGCUGUAGAUUUGUCAGCAGAUGUCCAUCGUGUGUUGAGAAAAAUAUCUUCACCCCUUUUUUCGGUGGGCCUCUUUUAACGGCAGCCUCAGUUUCCUGCUGUUAUCUGACUGGAGUGGUGCGGUCUUCUGCUGCUGUAGUCCUUCUGCUUCAAGGUUCACUAUCAGAGAUGCACUUCUGCAAAACUCGGUUGUAACGAGCUGUUAUUUGUGUUCCUAUCAAAUCAAAACAGUCUGGUUAUUCUCCUCUGACCUGAACAUUUUUACCCAAGAACUGACACUAUUUUCUAUUUUUUUAGACCGUUAUCGGUGAAGCGAUGGUUGUGUGGGAAAAUCCCACCCAGAAAUGCUCAGACCAACAACAAUGCCACAUUUAACAUCACUUCACUCCCCUUGUUUCUUCAUUCUGAUCAUUUUGAACUUCAGCAGGUAAUCUUGACCAUGUCUACAUGUCUAAAUGAAUUAAUUUGCUGUCACGUGAUUGGCUGAUUAAAUAUUUUACUAACAAGGAGCUGAGCAGGUGAACCUAAUGAUGCAGUCGGUUAGUGUACAUUUAAUUUCUACAGCUAAUGUGACGGGUCUGGCUUAAUUAAGCACUUUUAUGAGCUGACCUUUCACUGAUAUAUAAAUUAAUAUGUAUAUAAUUCAUCUGAAUAAACUUUGUAACAUUUACAACUCAAUUUUUAUUCCUUUUAUUCACUUGUUGUAUUCAAUGUUUUCUGUUUUCAACUCCCUACGCUGUACUGCUCUUUGUCAUCACUGGAUGGCGCUGUUGUUUUUGCUGUUGCUUCAGCUGUAAAUAUUUGUCCAACAUUUCAAUAAAGUUUUCUGAAUAUGUCAGCAGUAGUAGUGACAACAUAUGAAAAUCCAGACAGACAUUUCACAUCAGUUUUUAUACUUUUAUUUUAUUUAUAACACUUGUCAUUUUAUCUUCUUACAGAGGGGGCAUGAUGGGAAACAGACAUCGACAGCAUGGAAGGCAGUGGCCGGCCACUAACCGAUAACCUGCAAUCAAUCAAUACUCAAUCAAUAAUAACAAUAUACUUCUAAGUACAACAUGAAGGAGAAGAAUACACGACGGUGCUGCUGUUACACCAGAGGUGUGGGAACGUCAGCCAUUAACAGUCCACAGCACAAACGCCCCUGUGAUCACAUCAGAACUGCCCCAAAGAAAACAAAAAAAUUAAAAUAAUAAUAAUAAAAAGAGCAAUAAAAGCAGUAAUAACACCUUUGGAAUAAAAUAACAAAUAAAUAUAAAGCUGCAGACUGAAAGGCUAAAUACUGACACCCAUCUGAAUUGGCACAAAGAAGAGUUCAGAAGCUGUAAGGCAAAAAUCAGAACUAGAGGAGUUUUUACACAGAAGCCAGUUUCUCUUCUUUGGACAGAAUAACUGAUCCUAGACCAGCACCAGCAUUUCACUGCUCUGAAACUACAAACUGGAUCAGGGGCUGAGGCGGAUGCAAAUAUUUCUUUAAACUGCUUUAAAAACUUUAUUUAAAUAGUUCAAACCAAGCAGCAAGUACCCAUUGUUUUUAAACUGCAGUUCCUCACCUGGCCACUUGAGGCGGCCUACAACAGUGAGUCUCCCAUGUUAAAAUGUCUGAGUGUACAGCAGAAACAAACAUGUUUACGCCCUGGUCCACAACAUGGGUUUGGUGUCUGUGGCUAAUUUAAACCUUUAUAAAAACUGUAGUGGGGUGAAAUUAGUUAUACUUAAGUUGUCAGUAUUAGAGGCGUCCCUACUUUGAUUGGCAGAAGAAUCUCUACAAAGACGUUACAGCCAACAAAUUCAAAUCCAAUGAGUGAACCAAAUUGACAGUUUUCAUGUAAUAAAAUUAUCUUAUACAUAUUAUGACUUGUUUUUUAAGUGAAAUUGUACUACUUUAAUUUGCUAUUUAGCAUUAAUUAUCCAGUAUCUAUGGAUUCCACACAAACCAAUGGCUAACUUCAUGGUGGCUAUGUCCAUCUUUAUAUACUGUCGUCAGAACCAGUGAGGAACAGUUUAAUCCAGUCUGCAAUGAUCUCUGGCAACAGAAAAGAUUCAGUAAAACUCAAACAAAAAGAAGCAACUUAAGCGUUGACCACGCAACACAUUUUUCACCACAUCAAAACAGUUGAUGACGAUGGGAGCUAUAUAAGGCUGAGUUACUGGCCAUUUCCUUCCAUUAUCACUGCUUUGCAUGCCAAAAACACGCUAAAAAACACACUGUAGCAACCAGAGCCACGUGCAGACUGAGCACCAGAUAGCGAGGCGGUGAGGUAGAAGCUAAAGAAAAACUUCCACAUUUUGAGAGGAAAGUUUGUGUAAUGCAGAAUCACGAAACGCUUCCCAGAGAUUCUGCUCUGGUUAGCAUGUAGCUUAGCACAAACUGUGGAAGCAAAGGGGAACUGUUAGCUUAGCUUUUCCAACCUAUUCAUUUGCAUUUUACAUUAAGAGAAAGCAGCUGCGUGUCAUUAGCUCGAUAACUAACACAAGUUUCAUGAUUUUGACUGAUUUUUGAUGAGUAGCUUGGCCUUUAAACUGUGACGGUCCAGCAGAAAGUGAAAGGAGGAGCAGGAACAAGCACAUCUUUGGUAUUUUAGCUUUAUCAGCGACCACCAAUAACUGAUUAACAGUCUGUUAACGAGGCAAAGCAGCUGCAUGCAGCCUGUUGCAAUUACUCUUCAACUUCUUUUAACUUUCUUCACUUGUAUUUCUUCCUGUCUAAUUUUACAACUUCCACCAUCUUGAGCAGAAUUUUGAUCAAUUCUGACAGAAAACUUUAGAAAGCUGUCCUGGAAAAGCGUCGUCUUUUAAACUCCGCUCAAAGAUAACCACCACAUCGACAUACUGCACUCCUCUCUACCAGCCAUUUUAUAAGUUUAUCCACUGCCAAACCAAAACAAAAAGUCACUAUCUAGAGUUCAAUAA